rnacentral:rRNA from 1 species
CAACAGGGAUUGCCCUAGUAACGGCGAGUGAAGCGGCAACAGCUCAAAUUUGAAAUCUGGCUCUUUCAGAGUCCGAGUUGUAAUUUGCAGAGGGCGCUUUGGCUUUGGCAGCGGUCCAAGUUCCUUGGAACAGGACGUCACAGAGGGUGAGAAUCCCGUACGUGGUCGCUAGCUAUUGCCGUGUAAAGCCCCUUCGACGAGUCGAGUUGUUUGGGAAUGCAGCUCUAAAUGGGAGGUAAAUUUCUUCUAAAGCUAAAUAUUGGCCAGAGACCGAUAGCGCACAAGUAGAGUGAUCGAAAGAUGAAAAGCACUUUGGAAAGAGAGUCAAACAGCACGUGAAAUUGUUGAAAGGGAAGCGCUUGCAGCCAGACUUGCUUGCAGUUGCUCAUCCGGGCUUUUGCCCGGUGCACUCUUCUGCAGGCAGGCCAGCAUCAGUUUGGGCGGUGGGAUAAAGGUCUCUGUCAUGUACCUCUCUUCGGGGAGGCCUUAUAGGGGAGGCGACAUACCACCAGCCUAGACUGAGGUCCGCGCAUCUGCUAGGAUGCUGGCGUAAUGGCUGUAAGCGGCCCGUCUUGAAACACGGACCAAGGAGUCUAACAUCUAUGCGAGUGUUUGGGUGUCAAGCCCGAGCGCGUAAUGAAAGUGAACGGAGGUGGGAACCCGCAAGGGUGCACCAUCGACCGAUCCUGAAGUUUACGGAAGGAUUUGAGUAAGAGCAUGGCUGUUGGGACCCGAAAGAUGGUGAACUAUGCUUGAAUAGGGUGAAGCCAGAGGAAACUCUGGUGGAGGCUCGCAGCGGUUCUGACGUGCAAAUCGAUCGUCAAAUUUGGGCAUAGGGGCGAAAGACUAAUCGAACUAUCUAGUAGCUGGGUUCCUGCCGAGUC